GGUGAAAAUGAUGAAUUCUGGGGUGCUGACUCAUGUGAUCUGAAAAUGCCAUCCAUUUCCUGAUUCACC
rnacentral:snoRNA from 7 species